GCCCUCCAGCCCUGCAUGCUCGCCACCGCGUAAUUUACCCCUGAUUGAGACCCCCCCUCGGAUACAUGCUUUUCCAGAAUGGGCCUCUCCAGCUGGCGGAGGAAGGAGGGCACCUCCACAUUGCUGGCCCUGCGCGCUGUUCUCAUCACGCUUCUGAGACGCUUCUCGAGUUUCUUGCUCGACCUUACUGCCAGGCGUCUCCUCCUCCUGCUGUUGACCCUGCGCCGGCACCGGGACUUCCUCAGCAGGUCCAGGGCAACUGAUGAGCAGGUCAACCCAAAUAAAUCACCCCAUCACGAUCAGUGACCGAUCAAUUGGAGCACCACUUGUUGGCCCAGAUGCUCAGAUGACUUGUCCGUGACGGCCAGACAUCCAUACCAUUUUCUCAUGUGCCUCGCUGCUUACUGUAGCUGCACUGCUGCUAGC